AGUGUGUACCUAUAACCAGGAAGUAAACUAGGUGAAUAAGGACAGGAUUCAGUGUGUGCUCAUCACGCCCCCCCUGGUCUCUCACCUGUUGAGUGUGUACCUAUAACCAGGAAGUAAACUAGGUGAGUAAGGACAGGAUUCAGUGUGUGCUCAUCACGCCCCCCCUGGUCUCUCACCUGUUGAGUGUGUACCUAUAACCAGGAAGUAAACUAGGUGAGUAAGGACAGGAUUCAGUGUGUGCUCAUCACGCCCCCCCUGGUCUCUCACCUGUUGAGUGUGUACCUAUAACCAGGAAGUAAACUAGGUGAAUAAGGACAGGAUUCAGUGUGUGCUCAUCACGCCCCCCCCUGGUCUCUCACCUGUUGAGUGUGUACCUAUAACCAGGAAGUAAACUAGGUGAGUAAGGACAGGAUUCAGUGUGUGCUCAUCACGCCCCCCCUGGUCUCUCACCUGUUGAGUGUGUACCUAUAACCAGGAAGUAAACUAGGUGAAUAAGGACAGGAUUCAGUGUGUGCUCAUCACGCCC